rnacentral:rRNA from 1 species
AUUACACAAUAAUUACUAUACAAACCAAAGUAAAGAAAACAUUUCAAUAAAUAACUUAAAUAACAAAAAAUUAAAAAAAGAACAAAUAAAAUUUUAACAUAAUCAAAUAGAAAAUCACCAUAAAAUCCACAAAACUAAAUUAAACUCAGACAAUUAUAAAGCUAGAACAAGGAGCUAAUCCCCCUUAAUCUUAACAUCAAAUAAAAAUAAAUAAAUCAACAACAGAAAUUAAAUAAGAUGUAUGAAUUAAAUUCAUUUCUUGAAAAACCAGAAACCAC